ACCCUGGCGGCGUUUUUAACACAUGACACCUCGAGCGGGUUUAUGAAGUAGCUUGCUACCGUUUAUAAACUUAGCGGCGGACGGGUGAGUAACGCGUGGGAAACCUGCCUUGUAGAGGGGGAUAGCCUCGGGAAACCGGGAUUAAUACCCCAUAAAGCUCUAGCACCGCAUGGUGUUGGAGUCAAAACUCCGGUGCUACAAGAUGGUCCCGCGUCCCAUUAGCUAGUUGGUGAGAUAACAGCCCACCAAGGCGACGAUGGGUAGCCGACCUGAGAGGGUGAUCGGCCACACUGGGACUGAGACACGGCCCAGACUCCUACGGGAGGCAGCAGUGGGGAAUAUUGCGCAAUGGGGGAAACCCUGACGCAGCAACGCCGCGUGAGUGAAGAAGGCCUUCGGGUCGUAAAACUCUGUCUGGAGGGAUGAAUAAUGACAGUACCUCCGGAGGAAGCCCCGGCUAACUACGUGCCAGCAGCCGCGGUAAUACGUAGGGGGCAAGCGUUGUCCGGAUUUACUGGGCGUAAAGCGUGCGCAGGCGGUUUGGCAAGAAGGAUGUGAAAUCCCGGGGCUUAACCUCGGAACUGCAUUCUUAACUGCCAGGCUAGAGUAUGUCAGAGGGGGGUAGAAUUCCGCGUGUA
rnacentral:rRNA from 1 species